CUACGUGCCAGCAGCCGCGGUAAUACGUAUGUCACAAGCGUUAUCCGGAUUUAUUGGGCGUAAAGCGCGUCUAGGUGGUUAUGUAAGUCUGAUGUGAAAAUGCAGGGCUCAACUCUGUAUUGCGUUGGAAACUGCACAACUAGAGUACUGGAGAGGUAAGCGGAACUACAAGUGUAGAGGUGAAAUUCGUAGAUAUUUGUAGGAAUGCCGAUGGGGAAGCCAGCUUACUGGACAGAUACUGACGCUAAAGCGCGAAAGCGUGGGUAGCAAACAGGAUUAGAUACCCUGGUAGUCCACGCCGUAAACGAUGAUUACUAGGUGUUGGGGGUCGAACCUCAGCGCCCAAGCUAACGCGAUAAGUAAUCCGCCUGGGGAGUACGUACGCAAGUAUGAAACUCAAAGGAAUUGACGGGGACCCGCACAAGCGGUGGAGCAUGUGGUUUAAUUCGACGCAACGCGAGGAACCUUACCAGCGUUUGACA
rnacentral:rRNA from 1 species